rnacentral:lncRNA from 1 species
UUUAUGAGUGUUUGAUUUUAAAAUGUUUGUAUAUAUAAAAUGAAAAGGAUUAGAGAUAAUAAGAGUGUAUUAGUUAGAUGUAUUUGGCAAUGCAUGAAUGUGAGAAAAUGAAAUAAAGAGAGAGAAGAAGAUUGUGGGGGGACUGUUUCCAAGAUAUUGGAGAUCUUUAUGGGGAUCUAAGCCAAGCAGAACACAGAAGCAAUCAGAUCACGUGCUCAACAAACAAACAAAAACAACAACAGCAGCUUUACACAGUCCUAAAAACACCAUCGUACCCAUGUCACUUUGAUUGGCGGAUACUGCUGUAACCAAUACACAGCCGUACGUGCAUGGAAUUUCAGCAAGUACUAUGUCACACAGAGCAUAGAUGUCUCUUAUCUCUGCAUUUUCAUCCCAUCACCACCUUCCUUUUCUUCUUCUUCUACCUCUUCCUUCAUCUCAACAUCAUUAACAACAUCAUCAACAACAACCUUAACCCUCUACAUUGCAUGUAUGUUCAGGUGUUCACUGACAUUGUAACAACUACCCAUCUAAAUCCUUUGAACCAACCAGACACUCCAACCCCAGUGCUUAUCUUUCCAAUGCUCAUCUUAUUAUAAGUGUGAAUAUGUGAAGAGCAUAUUUUGUCACUAUGUCUCAUUUCUCACUCUUAUCCCAUUAAUUUGAUUGACGCGUGCUGUCUCAAUUAUGAAAUAAUUGACAUUUCAUCGCUCAAUUAACGAUCGUUUGUGCAAUUCUCGUCACUCUUUUAUUAACUCUGCCCCCU